rnacentral:rRNA from 1 species
UACGGAGGGUGCGAGCGUUAAUCGGAAUAACUGGGCGUAAAGGGCACGCAGGCGGGCUGUUAAGUGAGAUGUGAAAUCCCCGGGCUUAACCUGGGAAUAGCAUUUGAGACUGGGAGUCUUGAGUAUUUUAGAGAUGGGUAGAAUUCCACGUGUAGCGGUGAAAUGCGUAGAGAUGUGGAGGAAUACCGAAGGCGAAGGCAGCCCCCUGGGAAAGUACUGACGCUCAUGUGCGAAAGCGUGGGGAGCAAACAGG